GCGUGCUAUACAUGCAAGUCGAGCGGACAGAAGGGAGCUGCUCCGGAUGUAGCGGCGGACGGGUGAGUAACACGUGGGUAACUGCCUGUAAGACUGGGAUAACUCCGGGAAACCGGAGCUAAUACCGGAUAGUUCCUUGAACCGCAUGGUUCAAGGAUGAAAGACGGUUUCGGCUGUCACUUACAGAUGGACCCGCGGCGCAUAGCUAGUUGGUGAGGUAACGGCUCACCAAGGCGACGAUGCGUAGCCGACUGAGAGGGUGAUCGGCCACACUGGGACUGAGACACGGCCCAGACUCCUACGGGAGGCAGCAGUAGGGAAUCUUCCGCAAUGGACGAAAGUCUGACGGAGCAACGCCGCGUGAGUGAUGAAGGUUUUCGGAUCGUAAAGCUCUGUUGUUAGGGAAGAACAAGUGCAAGAGUAACUGCUUGCACCUUGACGGUACCUAACCAGAAAGCCACGGCUAACUACGUGCCAGCAGCCGCGGUAAUACGUAGGUGGCAGCGUUGUCCGGAAUUAUUGGGCGUAAAGGGCUCGCAGGCGGUUUCUUAAGUCUGAUGUGAAAGCCCCCGGCUCAACCGGGGAGGGUCAUUGGAAACUGGGAAACUUGAGUGCAGAAGAGGAGAGUGGAAUUCCACGUGUAGCGGUGAAAUGCGUAGAGAUGUGGAGGAACACCAGUGGCGAAGGCGACUCUCUGGUCUGUAACUGACGCUGAGGAGCGAAAGCGUGGGGAGCGAACAGGAUUAGAUACCCUGGUAGUCCACGCCGUAAACGAUGAGUGCUAAGUGUUAGGGGGUUUCCGCCCCUUAGUGCUGCAGCUAACGCAUUAAGCACUCCGCCUGGGGAGUACGGUCGCAAGACUGAAACUCAAAGGAAUUGACGGGGGCCCGCACAAGCGGUGGAGCAUGUGGUUUAAUUCGAAGCAACGCGAAGAACCUUACCAGGUCUUGACAUCCUCUGACAACCCUAGAGAUAGGGCUUUCCCUUCGGGGACAGAGUGACAGGU
rnacentral:rRNA from 1 species